AUGAACGCUGGCGGCGUGCCUAAUACAUGCAAGUCGAGCGAACAGAUGAGGAGCUUGCUCCUCUGACGUUAGCGGCGGACGGGUGAGUAACACGUGGAUAACCUACCUAUAAGACUGGGAUAACUUCGGGAAACCGGAGCUAAUACCGGAUAAUAUAUUGAACCGCAUGGUUCAAUAGUGAAAGACGGUUUUGCUGUCACUUAUAGAUGGAUCCGCGCCGCAUUAGCUAGUUGGUAAGGUAACGGCUUACCAAGGCAACGAUGCGUAGCCGACCUGAGAGGGUGAUCGGCCACACUGGAACUGAGACACGGUCCCGACUCCUACGGGAGGCAGCAGUAGGGAAUCUUCCGCAAUAGGCGAAAGCCUGACGGAGCAACGCCGCGUGAGUGAUGAAGGUCUUCGGAUCGUAAAACUCUGUUAUUAGGGAAGAACAAAUGUGUAAGUAACUAUGCACGUCUUGACGGUACCUAAUCAGAAAGCCACGGCUAACUACGUG
rnacentral:rRNA from 1 species